AUGAAUCCUGGAGUUUUCGCUUCCUGUUAUCUAUGUGAUCAGGAAGAAGACAAUGUGGAACAUCUACUCAUCCAAUGCGUUUACUCAAGACAGGUAUGGCACACGGCCUUGUCCAGUGUAAGGAUUGCGCCAACACUAGCACCGGUGGCGAAUGAUAACUUGGAAUCGUGGUGGGGUAGCACCCAUAAGCUGAUUCGCAAGGAGAACCGUAGAGCUUUCGAUAGCCUGGUGAUUCUGGUGUGUUGGCACCUAUGGAAGCAACGAAAUGCUCGAGUCUUCCAUCCGAAGACUCCGUCUAUCUCCGCCUCUGUAUUAGUGUCUAGGAUUCUUGAUUAG
rnacentral:rRNA from 1 species